ensembl:lncRNA
GAAGAAUUAUUAUUGUGCCUCAAAUGCCGGCUGCUAGUGUCACAGCUGUGCUGGGGCUUGGUCAUGCCAAGGGGCUUGGGGACCAACUUAGUCCCCAACCUGGCUCUGGGUCCCUGUCUCCUUAUCUUUCUUUUGUCCACACAAGAAAGUUUGCUCUCCCAGUCCACCCCUCCUCUGCUGACUUUAUUCAGGAUCCUGGGGAGGAGAAUGGCUAAAAACGAUAUUUCGGGUCUGGAGCUGAGCCAUCUCCAGUGCGCAGGUUUGCCUUCCUGGAGCUGAAGCAGAGACCCAGAAGCAGGUUCUCCUCGUCACUCCCCAGGUGCCUAGGCAGGAUGGGCUCCAGGCUGCUCAGGUCCACGCCUCGCCUCACUUGCUCCCAGCUCGGAUGCUGCCGUACUAGCCUUUGCCAAGGGCCUCAGAGAUGUCCCUGGAGGCAGGAACCCUAGCAAGUCCUCCCCAUCUGUUUCUUCUCGGGUUCCCCACUGCCUCCAGCGCCAGCCAGCCUCCCCAGCCUGGUGCUCAAGUCUCCUCAGAGAAGCUGCCCACGGACCUUCCUCUGCUGUUUUCCUGCUCAGUCUCAGGUGACAGCCUCACCACUGUUUCAGAUGUUCCAGCCAAGUUUUGCCUCUGGGCCCUGGUUUGAGCCUUUCCCCUGCCUGGAAUAGAGCCUGUCCCUCUCUCCCCUUCCCAGAGUCCUUGCCCCUUCCUUGGCUCCUCUUCCAGUCCAAAGAGCAGAUGAGAUGGAUAAGAAAACUACUGCCCAUGGACUGAGACACCAGAUUCCGGGCACAGAGCUACCUAUGGCCUGCAUUAUGGUCUGGGAGGGUGCAGGGGGCAGGACAUGACAAUAAGGAAACAACAGACUGGGAGGGACAGAUCCACCCCACCCUGGACUCCAAGCCAGUGUUUCUCACGCUGGAAGAAUGCAUGGAGCAUUUUCAAAGAAAACGUAGUAAAACAUAAGAGUGUUUGUGAGCGCCUAGGGUCUGAAGGUUUGGUUGGAAAAACACUGCCUUGAGAAACAAAAACACAGAAACAUGAAAAUAUAAAUGUAACUGUAGUUCUAUUAAAUUCCCCACAAAAAUCAUUCUUUCCAAUCUGAGCUUCCCUGAUACAAAAAAUACUUCUAGAAAACUUCCAUCAGCUGUGUAAGCAUGGAGCAGUUGCUUAACUUCUCUGAACCUGUUUCCUCACUCAAAACAGGAAGAGAAAUAAAAGUACCUACUUCAAAGUAUUGCUGGAGGGAUAAAAUGAAGUGAUACACCAGGUGAAGUGCUUUCAUGACCCCUGGCACUUUGCCAGUUCUCAAUCAGCUGUGGCUGUGAUCAAACAGAACCCUCUAAGGUAUCUGUUUUGUUACUGAAAAAUUCAGGGACCUAACUCAGAACUCCUCACUCCUUCUUCAGUUCCAGAAGGUCUGAUGUCCUGGGGUUUCCAGAGACUGGAAGGAAGGAAGCUCAGAAGACCGAGGCUCUGAGGAAGGCUGAGCUGCAGCCCCAGGAAGCAUAAGAAAGGAGGCAGAAUCAACAUAAGAUGUGUACUCCUGACCUUAUCCUGACUUCUACGAUAAUGGUUUUCUUUCUGGCCUGAUUACAUAGUGAAGAGGAGAAGGAAAUUAGAAAACUAUGUAAUAAGUGAUUUAGAACUUAAUAAACAGUGUAAGACUCCUACAUUAUCCUCCAGUUUCUCCACCAGGCUCUGUGUCCCAGGACACUAGCUUCUACAGAUUGUAUCACAUGGAUUCACUUUUCCUCCAGCUCACAGAUGGAUUUGACCAAUGGGAAGAUCCAGAAGGAGGUCAGAGGUCAAAGUAUUGGUUGUUUCAGCUCCCUCUCUGCUUCACCAUUGCUUUAACAGUGGUCAUAUCCCUCUGCCUACAGGCACAGCUCUUUCACAGCCACAGGUCUCACAAGGGAGAGACCUUGUGUUCAACAGAAGGGGGAACCUUCUGUUCCUCCUUUUGCCACUUUAUUUCUCUGAGAUGUUUCAUCAUCCUUUGUCAGUUCCCUUUACCUUUUCACCUCUAUCAACACUAUUAAACUC